GUUGGAGGAGACGCUGGAGAUACCCCCGCAAUGAAGACUGGACUUGCCCCAGGAACCCAAUGAUCGUAAGCAGCAGUGGCACCUGGAGACUAGGAUGUACUGCUGCAACCAUAGAGGAAGCGUCAAGAGAGCUCUGGAAGGACAGCUGGAUGGCUCAGCACACACCCAGGGGUAAUGGAAAUUAGUGAUCAUAGAUGCAGUCCUGAUUUACACACCAUUGCUAACAUGCCAGAGUGUGGAGCACGAGGAGACCUGUUCAUUAUCCUGGUCAUGGAAGACGGGAAACCGGAAGGUCCUGUGCUUUUGCCACAAGCACAGGCUCAACGUGAAAACCCUUCUUGUAACCUCACAUUCAUGACCCAUUGUCCCCUCUGUGGAGCCAUCUGCUGAUGCUGGGACCUCCGCCCAAGCUUUCUCUUCGGACAGGAAAUCGCUGCCAAAAAGGGGUGAAAGAUUGUAACAGCUAGAGGAUCAGGGAGUUUGCUGUGGGAUAGUGUCUCCUAGAAAUGGCAGAAACUACAGCCAGAGAGUCUCAUCAACGUGGCUGGCUAAACAUAAACUAAACAAGGACAGUAACAACAGACAAGCUAAGAUGGACAGGGGAAGCCCACAGGCCUCAGUCCCACACAAAGAAUUACAGGCAAAUAAGGAAUGCUGAGAAUGGGAGAGAAAGUGUCCGCAAGGAAGAACACAGGAACUGGUUUUCCAAUACCAAACGGCCAACCCUAAAAACAUACAUACAAGUACCAUUAUACAGCCUGAGCAGGUUGUAUUUAUGUAUAUAGGAUUACAUAUGUAUAUAUGUAUGUGCCAACAAUUAACUUAAAAAGAGGCGUAGAUUUGACAGAGGGCAAGGAGGGUUUGGGGGGGAGAAGAAAGAAAGAGGA